UUCUAAGGAAAGAAAUGCGGUGAUUUACUGAGCAACAAGUUGAUCUGUUGUGAGAGGUGCUACGUAGAGGAUGGACAUCACAGGGGACACGGUCGAGCCCCAUGUAGAGAUCUUCUGCGUCUUACUUCAUGCAAGUUUCAUUAUAUGAGUGCGUUACUUUUUUGAUGAUAUUAUCAUAUUUGAAAGGAAUGGGAAGCACAACUCCUAAUAUUGAUGCUUAUUUUUUUUAUAUUUUGGUACUCCAAUGAAUAGACU
rnacentral:lncRNA from 1 species